rnacentral:rRNA from 1 species
UGGGGAAUAUUGCACAAUGGGCGCAAGCCUGAUGCAGCCAUGCCGCGUGUAUGAAGAAGGCCUUCGGGUUGUAACGUACUUUCAGCGGGGAGGAAGGCGAUAAGGUUAAUAACCUUGUCGAUUGACGUUACCCGCAGAAGAAGCAGCGGCUAACUCCGUGCCAGCAGCCGCGGUAAUACGGAGGGUGCAAGCGUUAAUCGGAAUUACUGGGCGUAAAGCGCACGCAGGCGGUCUGUCAAGUCGGAUGUGAAAUCCCCGGGCUCAACCUGGGAACUGCAUUCGAAACUGGCAGGCUAGAGUCUUGUAGAGGGGGGUAGAAUUCCAGGUGUAGCGGUGAAAUGCGUAGAGAUCUGGAGGAAUACCGGUGGCGAAGGCGGCCCCCUGGACAAAGACUGACGCUCAGGUGCGAAAGCGUGGGGAGCAAACA